CAGAGUUCUCGCCCUCACGGGUAGAUCUCCCACCCACUGUUAUCGUUACUGUCGUUUCUUUGGCGGGCCGCCAGGUCCCUGGCCGCCGGCACUCCAGCUGGCGUGUGCCCGCCAGAGGCCUUCAAACUCUGAAUGUUAGUGUCGUCUGAGUACUAUAUAUAAUAGUUA
rnacentral:misc_RNA from 1 species